rnacentral:misc_RNA from 1 species
GAUGAAGAACGUAGCGAAAUGCGAUACGUAGUGUGAAUUGCAGAAUUCCGUGAACCAUCGAAUCUUUGAACGCAAAUUGCGCCCCCUGGUAUUCCGGGGGGCAUGCCUGUUCGAGCGUCAUUUCACCACUCAAGCCUCGCUUGGUAUUGGGCAACGCGGUCCGCCGCGUGCCUCAAAUCGACCGGCUGGGUCUUCUGUCCCCUAAGCGUUGUGGAAACUAUUCGCUAAAGGGUGUUCGGGAGGCUACGCCGUAAAACAACCCCAUUUCUAAGGUUGACCUCGGAUCAGGUAGGGAUACCCGCUGAACUUAAGCAUAUCAAUAAGCGGAGGA